AACGCUGGCGGCGUGCCUAAUACAUGCAAGUCGAACGAGUUCUGAUUAUUGAAAGGUGCUUGCAUCUUGAUUUAAUUUUGAACGAGUGGCGGACGGGUGAGUAACACGUGGGUAACCUGCCCUUAAGUGGGGGAUAACAUUUGGAAACAGAUGCUAAUACCGCAUAAAUCCAAAAACCGCAUGGUUCUUGGCUGAAAGAUGGCGUAAGCUAUCGCUUUUGGAUGGACCCGCGGCGUAUUAGCUAGUUGGUGAGGUAACGGCUCACCAAGGCAAUGAUACGUAGCCGAACUGAGAGGUUGAUCGGCCACAUUGGGACUGAGACACGGCCCAAACUCCUACGGGAGGCAGCAGUAGGGAAUCUUCCACAAUGGACGCAAGUCUGAUGGAGCAACGCCGCGUGAGUGAAGAAGGCUUUCGGGUCGUAAAACUCUGUUGUUGGAGAAGAAUGGUCGGCAGAGUAACUGUUGUCGGCGUGACGGUAUCCAACCAGAAAGCCACGGCUAACUACGUGCCAGCAGCCGCGGUAAUACGUAGGUGGCAAGCGUUAUCCGGAUUUAUUGGGCGUAAAGCGAGCGCAGGCGGUUUUUUAAGUCUGAUGUGAAAGCCCUCGGCUUAACCGAGGAAGUGCAUCGGAAACUGGGAAACUUGAGUGCAGAAGAGGACAGUGGAACUCCAUGUGUAGCGGUGAAAUGCGUAGAUAUAUGGAAGAACACCAGUGGCGAAGGCGGCUGUCUGGUCUGUAACUGACGCUGAGGCUCGAAAGCAUGGAUAGCGAACAGGAUUAGAUACCCUGGUAGUCCAUGCCGUAAACGAUGAAUGCUAGGUGUUGGAGGGUUUCCGCCCUUCAGUGCCGCAGCUAACGCAUUAAGCAUUCCGCCUGGGGAGUACGACCGCAAGGUUGAAACUCAAAGGAAUUGACGGGGGCCCGCACAAGCGGUGGAGCAUGUGGUUUAAUUCGAAGCAACGCGAAGAACCUUACCAGGUCUUGACAUCUUUUGAUCACCUGAGAGAUCAGGUUUCCCCUUCGGGGGCAAAAUGACAGGUGGUGCAUGGUUGUCGUCAGCUCGUGUCGUGAGAUGUUGGGUUAAGUCCCGCAACGAGCGCAACCCUUAUGACUAGUUGCCAGCAUUUAGUUGGGCACUCUAGUAAGACUGCCGGUGACAAACCGGAGGAAGGUGGGGAUGACGUCAAAUCAUCAUGCCCCUUAUGACCUGGGCUACACACGUGCUACAAUGGAUGGUACAACGAGUUGCGAGACCGCGAGGUCAAGCUAAUCUCUUAAAGCCAUUCUCAGUUCGGACUGUAGGCUGCAACUCGCCUACACGAAGUCGGAAUCGCUAGUAAUCGCGGAUCAGCACGCCGCGGUGAAUACGUUCCCGGGCCUUGUACACACCGCCCGUCACACCAUGAGAGUUUGUAACACCCGAAGCCGGUGGCGUAACCCUUUUAGGGAGCGAGCCGUCUAAGGUGGGACAAAUGAUUAGGGUGAAGUC
rnacentral:rRNA from 1 species